rnacentral:rRNA from 1 species
AUUGAACGCUGGCGGCAUGCCUUACACAUGCAAGUCGAACGGCAGCACGGGUGCUUGCACCUGGUGGCGAGUGGCGAACGGGUGAGUAAUACAUCGGAACAUGUCCUGUAGUGGGGGAUAGCCCGGCGAAAGCCGGAUUAAUACCGCAUACGAUCUACGGAUGAAAGCGGGGGACCUUCGGGCCUCGCGCUAUAGGGUUGGCCGAUGGCGGAUUAGCUAGUUGGUGGGGUAAAGGCCUACCAAGGCGACGAUCAGUAGCUGGUCUGAGAGGACGACCAGCCACACUGGGACUGAGACACGGCCCAGACUCCUACGGGAGGCAGCAGUGGGGAAUUUUGGACAAUGGGCGAAAGCCUGAUCCAGCAAUGCCGCGUGUGUGAAGAAGGCCUUCGGGUUGUAAAGCACUUUUGUCCGGAAAGAAAUCCUUGGCUCUAAUACAGGCGGGGGAUGACGGUACCGGAAGAAUAAGCACCGGCUAACUACGUG